UCGAAAGAUGUGCUACUACCGCAUAUUCUCUGAGGAGGAAAGUAGGGGAUCGAAAGACCUUAUGCUUUUGGAGCGGCCGAUGUCUGAUUAGCUAGUUGGUAUGGUAAUGGCUUACCAAGGCAACGAUCAGUAGUUGGUCUGAGAGGACGGCCAGCCACACUGGGACUGAGACACGGCCCAGACUCCUACGGGAGGCCGCAGUGGGGAAUUUUGGACACUGGGCGCAAGCCUGAUCCAGCAAUGCCGCGUGAGUGAAGAAGUCCUUCGGGUUGUAAAGCUCUUGCAGUCGAGAAGAAAAGGUUGUGGCUAAUAACUACAACUCAUGACGGUAUCGACAGAAGAAGCACCGGCUAACUACGUGCCAGCAGCCGCGGUAAUACGUAGGGUGCGAGCGUUAAUCGGAAUUACUGGGCGUAAAGGGUGCGCAGGCGGUUCUGUAAGUCAGAUGUGAAAUCCCCGGGCUUAACCUGGGAACUGC
rnacentral:rRNA from 1 species